CACAUACUUGUUCCUAAAGCUACCCCAACGUUGACCACCACAGACUGCACUGAAUCCCUGGGAUUCACAGAACAUACAGGAAAAAGGAAUAGUAAAUAAGGAAUUAUGCAGGAGCAGGGAACCUACCUGGAGGACAAAAUCUGCCAUGAGCUGCCAUGUCCUCUUCUCCUUGACAGGCAACCUUAGCCCAAUUUUUAUUUAACAACUUUUUACUGGUGGAAAUGAGGAGAAACAGACAUCAGCAAGUCCAGA
rnacentral:lncRNA from 1 species